rnacentral:rRNA from 1 species
UACAGAGGUCUCAAGCGUUGUUCGGAUUCAUUGGGCGUAAAGGGUGCGUAGGUGGCGAGGCAAGUCUGGUGUGAAAUCCCGGGGCUCAACCCCGGAACUGCACUGGAUACUGCCUUGCUUGAGCACUGGAGAGGGAACUGGAAUUUACGGUGUAGCGGUGAAAUGCGUAGAUACCGAGAGGAACACCAGUGGCGAAGGCGAGUCUCUGGACACUUCCUGACGCUGAGGCACGAAAGCCAGGGGAGCAAACGGG